UUAUUCCAAUGCCUCAAUAAUCGUGAAC
rnacentral:piRNA from 1 species